AGUCGUAACAAGGUAUCCGUAGGUGAACCUGCGGAUGGAUCAUUAUAGGUUAUUUUGAAUGUUGUGUGAACAGUGUGGUUGCGGUUGUGGUGGGUGUGGUAUAUGGUAUAUUGUAUGAUGUAUGGUAUAUUAUGUGAUGUAUUAUAUGGUAUAUUAUGUGAUGUAUGAUAUGAUAUACGAUAUGGUAUAAUAUAUAAUAUAUAAUAUAAUAUCAUCCACCUUGACAACAUUGACGUACAUUAGUGCUGAAUACAUUAUAUAUAUUGAAAUAUAAACAACUUUCAGCAAUGGAUCUCUUGGCUCUC
rnacentral:misc_RNA from 1 species